AUGUGAGGGUGAUCUUGCUGUGACAUCUGUCACCUGAUUGACUACCAGGAUUGAUUUGGCUGAUCUGGCUGGUUAGGCAGGUGUCCCCUUCCUCCCUCACCUCU
rnacentral:sRNA from 1 species